rnacentral:lncRNA from 1 species
GAGAGUGAGGAAGGGGGCGUGAUGAGCGGGGAAAGCCCCCUGGGUCCAGUGAGGAUCCCUGGCAUACCCCUGACACCUCCCCGACAAGGCCCUGCUGCUCAGCCCUCCAGGACGGAGUGAAAUCCCCUUGCCUCCUGCUGCAAAGGCAGAGGGAGGUGCACAGAGGAGGCUGGGUAGGGGGUGCCUGUCUUGGCAGAGGAAGACACACACACAGCCCCCUUGGGGCUCAGGGAGCUUUCCGCCCUCCUCUCUGGCAGAGGCAGCCUCCUUCUCCUCAGGGGGUUCCUUUCAAUGUUAAUGAGACUAAGAAGCCUCAAGGGCCCAUCCCCGAGUCCAGCGGAAGGCUCAACUCCACCAUGCGCUACCACUCAAGGACACUGAGCCUUCUUUGUGGCUGUUGGGCUGGGGAGAAACACAGGAUGUAAGCAGUGGCCUCCUCUGCUACCACAUCCAGACCUAUGACAUAUGGUGCCCUAAACUUAUAUCAAACUCUGCUUCGGAUGGGAAACUGAAUCCUGGUCUUGUCUGGUUGUUGAUAAGAACCCCUGGCAGCUGGAGCCACAGAGAACAUGUCUUCAGAUAGAGAGCCGAUUUCCUUUGAGCAGUCUUUUCUCCAGAUUAAACAUACUUAAUUCCUUCCACAUGUCCUAUAUGACUAGUUACCAGACUUGUCACCAUCCUGGUCACCCUUGUCUGGACACUCUCCAGGGUGUCAACGUGCCUCUUGGGGUUUGACACAAUGCAGCAAGUGUGGUCUGCCCUUCUACUAAGGGAGUCUAAAU